rnacentral:rRNA from 1 species
GACGAACGCUGGCGGCGUGCCUAAUACAUGCAAGUCGAGCGAACAGAGAAGGAGCUUGCUCCUUCGACGUUAGCGGCGGACGGGUGAGUAACACGUGGGCAACCUACCUUAUAGUUUGGGAUAACUCCGGGAAACCGGGGCUAAUACCGAAUAAUCUGUUUCACCUCAUGGUGAAACACUGAAAGACGGUUUCGGCUGUCGCUAUAGGAUGGGCCCGCGGCGCAUUAGCUAGUUGGUGAGGUAACGGCUCACCAAGGCGACGAUGCGUAGCCGACCUGAGAGGGUGAUCGGCCACACUGGGACUGAGACACGGCCCAGACUCCUACGGGAGGCAGCAGUAGGGAAUCUUCCACAAUGGGCGAAAGCCUGAUGGAGCAACGCCGCGUGAGUGAAGAAGGAUUUCGGUUCGUAAAACUCUGUUGUAAGGGAAGAACAAGUACAGUAGUAACUGGCUGUACCUUGACGGUACCUUAUUAGAAAGCCACGGCUAACUACGUGCCAGCAGCCGCCGCUG